CGGCAUUUAGAGUUGUUGCGGACAAUUAUGUGACUGAUGAUAGUGGUACUGGAAUUGUUCAUUGUGCUCCUGCAUUUGGUGAAGAUGAUUAUCGUGUUUGCAUUGAAAAUCAAAUAAUCAAUAAGGGAGAAAUUUUGAUUGUAGCUGUUGAUGAUGAUGGCUGCUUUACUGAAAGAAUUACUGAUUUUAGUGGGCGAUAUGUCAAGGAUGCGGACAAGGAUAUUAUUGAAAAUGUGAAGGCAAGAGGCAGGCUUGUGAAGUCUGGUAGCUGCACACACUCUUAUCCCUUUUGUUGGAGGUCUGAUACUCCUCUUAUUUAUAGAGCUGUUCCAAGCUGGUUUGUUAGAGUGGAAGAUUUAAAAGCAAAAUUGCUAGAAAACAACAAACAGACAUAUUGGGUUCCUGAUUAUGUAAAGGAAAAACGGUUCCACAAUUGGCUGGAAAAUGCAAGAGAUUGGGCUGUUAGUCGAAGUCGAUUUUGGGGGACACCUCUUCCUGUAUGGACUAGUGAGGAUGGUGAAGAAGUAAUUGUCAUGGACUCUGUUGCUAAGCUUGAAAAGCUUUCUGGUGCUAAGGUUUUUGAUCUGCAUCGGCACAAUAUUGAUCACAUAACUAU
rnacentral:misc_RNA from 1 species